GCUGCAGCCGGUGGACCUUUGCCUCUCUAGGCCGGUAGGGCCUCUCCUCCAUGGUCCUGACUGUCAGCACCGUUUUGGUAGCCAGUCGGUGCGGCUGGGCCGCGCUCGGACGCUUCGGAUCCUCGCGACCGUAACCGGUGCAGGGGCGGCCCGGGGCCCAUGGCGCGGCGACGGCGCUGACCCGGGCCUGGGCGGCGGCCGGGCCCCGGGGGCCGGCAUGGCGGGCCAGUUCCGCAGCUACGUGUGGGACCCGUUGCUGAUCCUGUCGCAGAUCGUCCUCAUGCAGACCGUCUAUUACGGCUCACUGGGCCUGUGGCUGGCGCUGGUGGAUGGGCUGGUGCACAGCAGCCCCUCGCUGGACCAGGUGUUCGACGCUGAGAUCCUGGGCUUUUCCACCCCACCAGGCCGGCUCUCCACGAUGUCCUUCGUCCUCAACGCCCUCACCUGCACACUCCUGUUAACGUUAGAUGGAAAGAAGUGUGUGGAGAGAAGUGAACAAGGUGGACGGGAAAUGGAGAACAAAGAGCCUGUGAGCCGCAACUACGAAGCCUGCAUGCCCUAGAGCCCAUGCUUCACAAGAGAAGCCGCUGCAAUGAGAAGCUUGCGCAGCGCAAGUAGGAAACUCGCCACAGCUAGAGAAAUGCCGGUGCAGCAGCAAGGACCCAACACAACCGAAAGGAUGGACACUGCUAUAUUUGAAAUGGAUAGGCAACAAGGUCCUACUGUACAGCCCAGGGAACUCUGCUCAGUGUUCCGUGGCAGCCUGGAUGGGAGGAAGUUUGGAGGAGAAUGUAUGUGUAUGGCUGAGAGUGUGUAUGUAUCCAUACGGCUGAGUCCCUUCGCUGUUCACCUGAAACUAUCACAUCAUUGUUAAUCGUCUAUCCUGAAAUACAAAAUAAAAAGCUUUUUAAAGAAGAAUGGACUAGGACCCUUCCACUGACAAGAUGACAUGUGAGGAGAGACCCGAAGGAGUUCUUAACUAGCUGGGCACUCCACAGCACCACUGUUGAUGUCAUCUAUGAUGUCAUGAGGGUGGCGGCCAUCAACAUUGCAGCCCACAGGCUGGGUGAUCUCUUUAAUGGUUCCAGAGAGUUCUCUAGCUAGAGACUGAUACCGCAUCUGCUGGGCAGUGCUGACGAUCUCAUCAAAAGUGAUGGUUCCACUGUGCUUAAUGUUUUGCUGCUUCUUUCUCUUGGUGGUUCCAUGAGGGCUUUGAUGAUCAGGGCAGAAGCAGAAGGUACUACCUUAAUCUGGGCCUGUCUGUUCUGAAUGGUCAGUUUCACUGUAAUACUUGGACCCUUCCAAUCACCAGUUGCCUUGGUGAUGUCAUCACCAGCCGUUUUUGGAGACAGACCCAGGGGGCCAGUCUUGGGGGCCAGGGCAGACAUGGCACAGACUUCCCCACCAGUGCACCAGUGCAAAAGGUACACGACUUUGAUCUCGUUGGGGUCAAACUUUGGUGGCAUGGUGAAGGCGGCUGGUGAACCCGGAUUCGGGACGAUUGAAGAAAGUUGCAUCUUUGCCUCCUCUGAGCCGAAAGCUGAAAGCUGCACAGUUUCUUAUAUAUCCACGCCCUUUCUUAUUAGGGCGGAGAUGAGUGGGUGGUAAAAACAAAAAAAGAUGCUGUGGGUCAGAAAAGACACAAGGAGGCGACUUUGGAGGGAAGGCCAGGCGAACACCCCACCCCUCCCUCCGCCUGCCUCAGUCCUCUCCGGCUCCUCCGCCUGCUCGGGCUUCCGUCUCCGUCAGCAUGAUCUCAGCUCGUCCUGGACUCUGCUGGGCUCUGCUGGGCUGCAUCAUUAUCAUCUGCACCUGCCACCUCGGCACCAACAGCUGGGGCCCUGCUGUGCGCCUUCCUCUGAGCCCGGGGAGUGGUCCCUCCAGAACAUGGGCUCCUCAAGGGCAGGGAUUUGGGUCUGUUCUCUUUAUUGCUAACCCCCCAGAGCCUUAGAAGAGUGCCUGGCUGACAAGAGGUACCCACUAAGUAU